UUUCAAGUUAAGAGUGGCCUCGGCUGUGUGUUUAUAGAACGACUAUAUUUUGCCGUAUAGGAUCUUAGUAAUAAACAUCACGUAGACGGUUUAACACUCGAAAUAUUUUGUUCUGCAGGAAAAUUUGUAAAUAUAUAUAUUGUUCUGAACGUCAAACUUACAUAUAUAAAGGAGAUAAAACAUACUUGUUCGGCUAAUAAUUUAUUCACAUUUAAAGAGCCGUUUUGUAAGCAAAGGAACCGAUUGAAAAGUUCCAGGUCGUCUUAACGGGAGCGAGAGAUUCAAAGUUCGAAAUUUCCAUGAAUAACACACAAGUCGUACUACAAGAGACGAACACAGGGAGGGGAAAGGGCGAGGGUAUGGGAUCUUCAUUCAUUCUGGCUUAUCAGCAACAGUACGGGGCGCUAUUGGAGCGGAGUCAAGCGCUUGAGAGAUACAUGGAGCGCCUACUUCAGGAGUACCUGAUCGCUUUCACGGUCCGGGAUGUUGCCACGCUGCUGGACAGACUCUAUAGGGGAAGCUAACACAUGCAACCAGAUUCGUCACCAUCAACAGAUGCAAUAAAGGAGAUAAUGUUUCCUUCCACAUUCUUCAGAUCUCAGCUCUGACGUCACGCACAGUUGAUAACAGCCAUCGCGAAAAUGAGUGUCAUACGUCAUGCGGUUAUAAAUCACGGACUUACUACCAAUAUACAAGGUAAUAAGUCAACUUGAAUACAGAGUGACUAACGGUCAUCCUCGUUAUAAAUCACGGACCAGGGCUGACGUUCGGUUGUUAACCAUUGAGUUUCAAUAUUGUCUUCGAGGUUAUAAAGAUCAAGCCACAAUGGACCAGAUUUUGACACAAGCUUUUCAGUACAUGAGAAGAGAAACAGAUAGAGAAACGUGAUCAUUAUAGUGUCCUCUGAUGUGUUUAUAUCUGAAGUUUACACACAGUGAAAACAUAAUUUAAAAUACCUGAAUUCGCUGACGUCUCUAUGUAUUUAACGAAUGUCUCAGGGGUUUUUUAAUACAGCAAUGUAUCAAUGCAAUUAUACUUUAUUAUUAGAAUACCUUUAUCAAAUUUCACUGAAUCAUCAACUUGUAUUUAAUAAUUUCUCAUAUGUGGUUGACAUACAGAAAUUGUGAAAUGAACAGUGGUAUCUCAACUGUUUAAUUGUAAAUUGUCUUCACUCAUAUUCUUUUUAUAAAAUGUUCAUCUAUUUAUUUCAUUCAUCAGCAUUAUCUCAUGUACGAUUAAUCUUGUCUGUGACGAGAGUAAUAUGCUGGUCAACGCAAGUUUAUCUCUGUCGGUCAAUGCAAGUUUAUCAUUGCCGGUCAAUGCAAGUUUAUCAUUGCCGGUCAAUGUAAGAUUAUCAUUGCCGGUCAAUUCAAUGUUUAUCAUUGCCGGUCAAUGCAAGUUUAUCAUUGCCGGUCAAUGCAAGUUUUUCAUUGUCGGUCAAUGCAAGUUUAUCAUUUCCGGUCAAAUGCAAGUUUUAUCAUUUUUAACAGGUUCUGCUGGUCAGAUUCUGUCUUUAUAAGUUUUGAACUGUUGUUAUGAACUUAUGUUGUUAAUAUGUUGUUGUUUUUAAAUAUACGUUACUGAUAAAAGGAAGAAAACAAG